rnacentral:rRNA from 1 species
UACGGAGGGUGCGAGCGUUGUCCGGAAUCACUGGGCGUAAAGGGCGCGUAGGCGGCUCAUGAAGGCUGUGGUGAAAGUCCGGGGCUCAACCUCGGAUCGGCCGUGGCGACUCGUGGGCUGGAGCACUGUAGAGGCGGGUGGAAUUCCGGGUGUAGCGGUGGAAUGCGUAGAGAUCCGGAGGAACACCAGUGGCGAAGGCGGCCCGCUGGGCAGUGGCUGACGCUGAAGCGCGACAGCGUGGGGAGCAAACAGG